rnacentral:rRNA from 1 species
AGAUUGAACGCUGGCGGCGUGCUUAACACAUGCAAGUCGAGCGGUAACAGGUGUAGCAAUACAUGCUGACGAGCGGCGAACGGGUGAGUAAUGCUUCGGAAUCUACCUAGUAGUGGGGAACAACUAACCGAAAGGUUAGCUAAUGCCGCAUACGACCUAUGGGUGAAAGCGGGGGAUCGCAAGACCUCGCGCUAUUAGAUGAGCCGAAGUCGGAUUAGCUAGUUGGUAGGGUAACGGCCUACCAAGGCGACGAUCCGUAGCUGGUCUGAGAGGACGACCAGCCACACUGGAACUGAGACACGGUCCAGACACCUACGGGUGGCAGCAGUCGAGAAUUUUUCACAAUGGACGAAAGUCUGAUGGAGCGACGCCGCGUGGAGGAUGAAGGUUCUUGGAUUGUAAACUCCUGUCACUGCAGAACAAGGAUACGCCUAUGAAUAGUAUGCGUAUUUGAUGGUAUGCGGAGGAGGAGGGACGG